rnacentral:tRNA from 9 species
GUGGAUAUAGCUCAGUUGGUAGAGCGCUGGCUUGUGGAGCCGGAUGUCGCGGGUUCGAGCCCCGUUAUUCACCCCA